rnacentral:rRNA from 1 species
UACGUAGGUGGCAAGCGUUGUCCGGAUUUACUGGGCGUAAAGAGCUCGUAGGCGGCUUGUCACGUCGGGUGUGAAAGCCCGGGGCUUAACCCCGGGUCUGCAUUCGAUACGGGCUAGCUAGAGUGUGGUAGGGGAGAUCGGAAUUCCUGGUGUAGCGGUGAAAUGCGCAGAUAUCAGGAGGAACACCGGUGGCGAAGGCGGAUCUCUGGGCCAUUACUGACGCUGAGGAGCGAAAGCGUGGGGAGCGAACAGG